GACGUAGGGGGCGAGCGUUGUCCGGAUUUAUUGGGCGUAAAGCGUGCGUAGGUGGCUGCGCAAGUCGGGUGUGAAACCCCGGGGCUCAACCCCGGAACUGCAUCCGAUACUGCGUGGCUAGAGGUAGGUAGGGGAGAUCGGAAUUCCUGGUGUAGCGGUGAAAUGCGCAGAUAUCAGGAGGAACACCGGUGGCGAAGGCGGGUCUCUGGGCCGAUACUGACGCUGAGGAGCGAAAGCGUGGGGAGCGAACAGG
rnacentral:rRNA from 1 species